rnacentral:tRNA from 1 species
CGGGCGGUCCUUCUAAACUGGACUAGGUGGCGCGCCUUUCAAGCGUUGCGAUGCGGGUUCGAGCCCCGUCCGCCCGACCA